GAUGAACGCUGGCGGCGUGCCUAAUACAUGCAAGUCGAGCGAACAGAAGAGGAGCUUGCUCCUCUGACGUUAGCGGCGGACGGGUGAGUAACACGUGGAUAACCUGCCUAUAAGAGUGGGAUAACUAUGGGAAACCGGAGCUAAUACCGCAUAAUAUUUUGUGCCGCAUGGCUCAUUAGUGAAAGACGGUUUUGCUGCACCAUAUAGUGGGCUCCCGUCGUAUUUGCUAAGAUGGGAGGUAAUGGGUUAACUAAGCGAACGAUCAGAACCCGCCCGGGGAGGGUGACCGCCCACCCGGGACCGGAGACACGCCCCAGACCCCUACGGGAGGAGGCAUUAGGAAAUCUUCCGAAAUGGGCGAAAGCUUGCCGGACAAACGCCGCGUGGGUAAUGAAGUUCUUCGGAUCGUAAGACCCUUUUAUUAGGGAAAACCAAUUGUGUAAGGAACUAUGCACGUCUUGACGGUACCUAAUCAGAAAGCCACGGCUAACUACGUG
rnacentral:rRNA from 1 species